rnacentral:rRNA from 1 species
AGCGAACGUUAGCGGCGCGCCUAACACAUGCAAGUCGCACGAGAAAGGGCUUCGGCCCCGGUAAAGUGGCGCACGGGUGCGUAACACGUAGGGAAUCUACCCUCGGGCGGGGGAUAACGUUUCGAAAGAGACGCUAAUACCGCGUAAGACCACGUCCAGUCCGCUGGAUGCGGUCAAAGGUUGCCUCUUCUUGAAAGCAACCGCCUGAGGAUGACCCUGCGGCCCAUCAGCUAGUUGGUGAGGUAAUGGCUCACCAAGGCAAAGACGGGUAGCUGGUCUGAGAGGAUGAUCAGCCACACUGGCACUGAAACACGGGCCAGACUCCUACGGGAGGCAGG